UCUGAAUCCCAUCACUGCAGUAUAAAACAGAAGAAUUCCAGAUCUGGAACCUCACUCUUCUUUAUUUUUAAACCGUGAAAACCCUGCUUCUGAAAAGAAUAAAUGAAAACCACAAAUAAAUUAUUGGAUGAAUGAGUUCCUGAAAGAAGUCAUAUCUUGAUGAUCAGUCUCUUGUGAGUUGGAAUGUAAAAGUGGUGGCUCUCCUUGACUAUGAGACAUUUACUCCGUUCCUUCUGCUGGCGUGCACAAGCAGCUCUCUGUGGAGUGACUCCUGCUCCCUCCAGAAGCAGGAGAAGGGCAUGAAGUCUCAUUUACACAAUUAUUUUUCCAGCUCUUGUCCCUGGUUACUUAGUGUUUUUGCAGCUCAUGCUCCAGCUACAGUAUCUGAUUUAAAAAAAAAACAAAAACUAAACUAAACUAACGUUUACGACAUUUGAUAUCCAAAAAGAUGUCUCAUUCCUACAGGAAGAAUAAUGCAGACCUCCUUAAGGAGACAAACUGUUUAUAUGUUUGUUGCUAGAGAUUAUAAUAAUUUUAAGGUAAGAACUCCUUGUUCUUUGUGAUGUCCUUAUUGGUGAAUAUUCCAUUUCAGCAAAUGUACACUGAGCCUUUAGCUCAGAUCUUCUUGCCAUACCUUACCCCACAGUAGCCUUCAAUAGUGCAUUUUUCAGGUUAUGAAACUAAGAAGAAUUUAGCAUUUACAGAAGAAACAGUAUUGGCUCUGCAGUGAUGAAAAUGUAGUUGUAAUUAUAAAUUUAAAAUAAUUUUGAAAGAAGAGGUAGUUCCAAGGUAAGUUAAGUAAGAUUAAAUGAUUUAUGGGCGUUUUAUAACGGCAGUCUUCAUUUUAAGCUACAGUGUAAAGUGCUUUACUCUGAGAUUAGGUAUUGUGGCAGAAGCUAAAACUGCCUUUUCUAUCGCAGUGCCAGAAUACAACCUCUUUUUCUUUCUGCACUAACAAGACUGCUUCGCCACCGCAGCCCACUCUAAGUAAUUAAAUCAAUCCUUUGUACUUACCGUAUUCUCCUCUAGUGACGGUACUAGAUCUGAUUAUAUGCUUCAUGCAUAUUCAAAGUAGCGCGCUGACAGCUCUUUAAUGAGCUCUUACUUAAUCAGUAUGAACAAUGUUCAUCUUGUUCUUUUUUUCCUCCUGCAUUAGAGCUAGGAACAGUUGGGAAAAAUGAAACAUCCAGCAUUCAUUUGAAAAAUAUAUUGUACUUUGAAAAGUGUCUAAGCGGAGGAAGUUGCAUUCUGCCCUUUAAAAGUCUGAUGGACAAAUUGGAUUACUAGUAUUGGAUUAAAUAACAAAUGGUUAGAGGAGAAAUGAGAAACGCUCACUGUGAUCAGAGGCUUUAAUAUUUUUUGUUGCUUAUAAAGCUAAAGGGGUCUUUAACCAGUUAUUAAAGUCAGGAUUAAUUUGUAAUGGUUCAACUUACUGGCUUUUAAAAGCUUUUAAAUUUAAAAAAUUUUAAAUCCCUAUAAACAAUAGUGUACUGAUAUGUUAGAAGAAACUUUAAUUUUUUUAUUAUUAGGCUGAGUAUAGAUUUCUAUCACUGUAUACCACCUCAGAUAAGGAUUAAUGAUACAGAGUGGGUUUUUUUUUCCUUCAGUGAAUAGAAGUAAGCUGUAUAGUAAUGUAUCUUUAAGUAUUGUUAGGUUUAUUUCCUUUUGAAACAUGAGGGUUUUCUAUUAUUAUUUAUUUUGUAACAAUUACAGGGGUAUCUUUGAUUCUUAUCUAGAAAUACAGACAUGAGUUAGCAAGGAAACCACACAGUUCCACAUCAAUAUUGUCAAACCUAAGAAGCAGGGUUCCAUUGAAGAAAAUGAUGUUAAUGUAAAAGUAGGCUGGCCGCUUUUAGUGUUGCCUGAAAGUUUCAAUUAUAGGUUAAGUUAAACUCAAAACAGAGUUUUAAUAUAUCUGUAUCUUUAGAAGCCACUUGAGUUAUGAACACAAGAAUUGGAUCUUUAAUCAGAAAUUAGAUAUCUUGAAUCUAAAAGAUUGCCUAUUAAUAUUGCACACAUGUGUCAGUUCACUGAUCAAAACGCUUCCACCGGGGUACUUUGGCCUUUUUCCAAACUGCAAGCUUUUUCUCAGCUUUUUCUUUUUACUCUUUCUUCUUUUGUUGCUUCCCAGGGAUUUGUGCCUAUCGCAGCCUGUGUCACAUGACCAGUGUCAAGACAUCACAUGGUCCAAACUGAAUACAAAACCAGCUACCCUAAAGGAAAGAUUAAAAGUACUGUAAAACAAUAAAGACUUUUGUUGAGUCUCUGAAAGAGUCUAUCUUAGGUCCUCACACAUUAAGUUCUAACAAUGUGAAAUAACCAGUACCUGGUCGCUGUUCUUCCUGAAGACGGCAGCACCUGAAGUUCAUCCACAGCCUUCUGCACACAGACCUGCUUGGAAUAGUCUAAAGCAUUCUUUAGAUUUGUAUUAGUAUAGAUAUAGCUUAAUUAUGACAUUUCCAUAAUUUAUAAAGUAAAUAUCUAGGCAACACGACAAAAUACACAAUAGUUAUUAUAUCAUAUCAUCUCACUGAAGUGAAAAGAAGUCUGUCUGUAAACAGAGGGGAUGCACAUAUUGAUGCACAGGGCAGUCUGUGCCUGAGAAGAGCGCGUGUCUAUGACAGGGCCUACUUCCGGAGGAGUUCUAAAGUGAGGAAGCUGGAGAUGCUAAAAUUAGACUCUUUAAAUAUGGUGAUACCUCUGCAUUGUUUGAAUU
rnacentral:lncRNA from 1 species